UGAGGAAUAUUGGUCAAUGGACGCAAGUCUGAACCAGCCAUGCCGCGUGCAGGAAGACGGCUCUAUGAGUUGUAAACUGCUUUUGUACGAGGGUAAAUGCAGGUACGUGUAUCUGUUUGAAAGUAUCGUACGAAUAAGGAUCGGCUAACUCCGUGCCAGCAGCCGCGGUAAUACGGAGGAUCCAAGCGUUAUCCGGAUUUAUUGGGUUUAAAGGGUGCGUAGGCGGUUUUAUAAGUUAGAGGUGAAAUCUCGGGGCUCAACUCCGAAAUUGCCUCUAAUACUGUAGGACUAGAGAGUAGUUGC
rnacentral:rRNA from 1 species